GUGGCAGGGGUUCUCUGCCCUUCGCUGCCUCCCCGGGGCUGGGGUACCUCCUCCCCGCUACGCAGCCCGCGUUGCAGCCACUGCUGCACUUCUAUAUAAGCGCCCGAGCGACUCCCUGCGACUCUUGAAGAUGAAGGCGCCUCCGCUACUUCGCUCUAUCCCCGACUGGGAGAAGACCCCUCAAUGCCUGGGAAAAGCAGUCGCGGCUGGAAAGCAUCUUUCCGGACAGUGGCAGUAGCCAGUCCCACUGCUGCCAUGAGUUGUUCAGACGUGGCGAGGCACCAGCCGCCCCAGUUGAAACUGCCCAGCUCGGUGGCAGCAGCCUCCUGUUCCGCAGCUCCUUGCCCCUUUCCUGCGCUGCCUUUCGUGCAGAGCCAACAGACUAAGUUUGCUGUAUAUAGCAAGAUGCAGGAAUCUCUGGAUGUAGUCCCUCCUAACAAACAAGAAGAAGAUGAGAAAGACCAGCCUGCUGAGAUGGAGUACCUUAACUCUCGCUGUGUCCUUUUCACUUACUUCCAGGGGGAUAUUGAGUCUGUAGUGGAUGAACACUUCUCAAGAGCAUUAAAUCAAACUAGCAGCUUCAACCCAGAGUUUGUCAUUUCCAAAAACAAGGCAGGGCUAAACCCACUAUGGAGAGAGAAUGCAACAAUAGCAAGCCAAAGGAGUGGUUUCCCAGCUUCAUUUUGGACCAGUUCUUAUCAAACUCCACCUCCACCAUGCUUAGGUGGACUUCAUCAUGAUCUUCCAGUAACUGCACCAAGCACCUUCUCAACAGCAGAUCCUAGCAACUGGCCAGGACGUUCCCUGCAUCAGACUGUUCCACCUCCUCCUCAUAGCUUGUCAGAAUCCUGGCAUUAUCCUUUGGCAUCUCAGGUGAGUCCUACAUAUGGACACAUGCAUGAUGUAUACAUGCAUCACCAUCAUCCCCAUGCACACGUGCAUCACCACCACCCACCAACUUCACAUCUUGAACCAGGGUACAGACCUUUGCUGAUGCCUUCAGUUUGUACAGGCAAGAUUCCUCCACCACAUUGUGAUGCAGCCAAGACAGAUUCUACUGCUGUCACCAGUGCUACCUCAGCAUGGGCAGGAGCUUUUCAUGGAACAGUCGACAUUGUUCCAACCUUUGGGUUUGACACAGUAGGCAUACAGCACCAGGAAAAAAGUAAGGAUGCAUCAUGGUUCUGAAGUACAAGUGGAUCUUAUCUUGUAGCCAGUAUUAAAAAUCUCUACCUGUGAAGGGAGCGCUGCAAUUUCUUUUCUUUUUCACCAUUUCUGCAUAGUGGCAAUAGACAUACCGCUAAACAGAUGGAGAGAUGACCAGCCAUGAUUUUGUGAUUGAGUCUUUACCUCUAGAAGGCCAUUUCUAAUUCUUCGGACAAUAAACAGCCUUUCUAUUGUAUAUUGUUUGUCAACUGAGCCUGCAGCAGCAUUUUUGCAGCAUAAUUUCUAUUUGCUCCUGUGAGAGUUUUUUGCUUGAUUGUUUGCAUUGUGUGUGUGUGUGUGUGUGUAUUAAAGCACAGCCUUCAGUUUUUUGUAGCUCUUUGUGCAUCUUUUUUUUUUUGUAGAAAUACAGAAAGUUGGCAUAUGCAUUGAGGGGCUAUUUUAAAACAAUGUAUUUUUUUAAAAAAAAUAUAAAAUGGUAAAGUUCUGUUUAAAGAACUUGCUCUCAGAGAAGCACUGGCAAAAUAUGUAAGAUUCAUAUUUUUAGAUGUUUGAUAUGCCUGUAUGAAAUUUUGUUGUUAUUGCUAUAUGAAGUUUCUGUCAUAAAAUGAUUCAAACAUAUACGUAACAGUUCCACCAGAUCUUGAAUGUACUUUGCUUUUUUGCUUAAACAGUCAUUCUAAUGUAAAAUAUUUUCUAUGGCAUUGCUCUAUCACUAAAAAUGACUGUCUGCUUUGCUGCUUCUUGAGAUAACUUCAAGCUGUACAACCCAUGAGAAAAUAUUGUAAAACAAGGCACAGAUGUUUUAAAAACUGCAAGCCUGCAUAGGAACCAUGGUGCAAAUCUCCCAAAAUUAGAGAAUGUAGCCAAGUUUUCUAUACGUGGAAGCCUGAAAUGUGUUCUUCCUUAAACUGAUACAUAGUUUUAUUUUUCUGGGUGAAUCAAAGAAGAAAAUAAAUCAAAGAAGAAUCAAAGAAGGAAAUAAAUAAUCUAUAGCUGAAA